rnacentral:rRNA from 1 species
AUCCUGGCUCAGAUUGAACGCUGGCGGCAUGCUUUACACAUGCAAGUCGAGGGGUAGAGUUCUUCGGGACUUGAGACCGGCGCACGGGUGCGUAACGCGUAUGCAAUCUACCUUAUACAAGGGGGAAUACGACCCAAGAAGUAAAGUUUGGUAAUUAAUCGCCCAUAGUAUAAUUGAAUGGCAUCAUUUAAUUAUUAAAGUCACAACGGUAAAAGAUGAGCAUGCGUCCCAUUAGUUAGUUGGUAAGGUAACGGCUUACCAAGACAAUGAUGGGUAGGGGUCCUGAGAGGGAGAUCCCCCACACUGGUACUGAGACACGGACCAGACUCCUACGGGAGGCAGCAGUGAGGAAUAUUGGACAAUGGGCGCAAGCCUGAUCCAGCCAUGCCGCGUGCAGGAAGACGGUCCUAUGGAUUGUAAACUGCUUUUAUACAGGAAGAAACACUCCGACGUGUCGGAGCUUGACGGUACUGUAUGAAUAAGGACCGGCUAACUCCGUG